GCACGUGAUGUGGGGACGUCAUGAGAGACUGCCGGGGUUAACUCGGAGGAAGGUGGGGAGUGACGUCAAAUCAUCAUGCCCCUUAUGUCCAGGGCUUCACACAUGCUACAAUGGUCGGUACAACGCGUGUGCGACACUGUGAGGUGAAGCUAAUCGCUCUAAAGCCGGCCGUAGUUCGGAUUGGGGUCUGCAACUCGACCCCAUGAAGUCGGAGUCGCUAGUAAUCGCAGAUCAGCAACGCUGCGGUGAAUACGUUCCCGGGCCUU
rnacentral:rRNA from 1 species